GGGCCUAUAUCUCAGUGGUAGAGCAUUUGACUGCAGAUCAAGAGGUCAUUGGUUCUAACCCGGUUGGGCCCU
rnacentral:tRNA from 1 species